rnacentral:lncRNA from 1 species
UGCGCCUUGCACUGCCCAAUCAAGUAUAACAUGGGGAAGGGUCUUAAUACGGCCUCAGAAUGUUCAUUGUUCUGUUCAAUAAUCAUAGGCUCGGUGCUUGCCAAGCCCACAUCCCAAAAUGGGUUCACAUAGAUUGUUUUUAUCUAGGAAUCGACGCACGGGAAUGUCAUAGGUCAUCCUCCCUUCCCUACAGGCCUUAAGCAAGCUACUUCCCCUGGGAGACCCAGCUGUGCAAAAGUAUUCGUCCCAAAGAAACUCUGACUUUGGCACCGCACCAUCUGGCUGUAAAAGUGAGAUAGCCAGUCAUUAUCUCCCUGGGCUUAUUUUGGCCUUUACAUCAAGUGCUCUCCCAUGUGUGACCACUGUGAUCCACGCUUUCUUUUUCUUUUUUUUUUUUAAAGAUUUAUUUAUUUAUUAUAUGUAAGUACACUGUAGCUGUCUUCAGACACACCAGAAGAGGGAGUCAUAUUUCGUUACAGAUGGUUGUGAGCCACCAUGUGGUUGCUGGGAUUUGAACCUUUGGAAGAGCAGUCAGUGCUCUUAACCACUGAGCCAUCUCACCAGCCCCCACGCUUUCUUUUCUGCAGUGCUAUGUUGUCUGUGGGGUAGCUUUUCUUUGUGUAUUCUCUUAUUGGCCCCUGGUAGUCAUCCUGGGAGAAUGAACAUUAAGAGCCGAGACAACUGAGGCUAAGGAUAAUCAGUGACUUCCAUGUAACUAGCUAAGUCAGGGCAAUCGGCUUGAUCCUACAACCAAGGCUUUCAAAGUCGGAACACCUCUGCUGGCCUCUGCAAAUCUGCCCCUCUUCCACAGCUAUUUAGCAGGCCUCUAGUGUACCAGGGGUGGGGUAUUGAUGGUGAAGUGCACACUGUUUCAGGGGACAGCCAACAAGUGCCCCAUCUCAAACAAGUCAACAGUGCCUUCGCUACUCAUUGCCUUGUAGUGGGAUUCCUGUCUAGCUUUGGUCCCUCCUGCUGGGUGACAGGUUUCCUGGGAGACCGAUGCCAGGUCUUCUCCUCUGAUGGAACGAGAGGCACUGAGUAAAAACCUCAAGCAGCUAUCACUAGGAAGCAUCCUUUUGGCUUCCUCCUCCCCUACCUUCCAAAAAUCCCUGAGAACGCCCAGUCUGCCUACCUCUAGUCCAGUAGUUAGUGUGCUGGUUUCUCCUGUUUACAACAUUCAUGUUCUAUUAGCUGCACAAGGUAGGGAUUGAUUCAAUAUGACCUAAUAUUGUUAGUUCAAGACUCAGACUAUGGAACUUUGUAUAAAUGUAUAAAAAUGACCAAGUAUGCUUUCAAUCAUGGACAGAAAAUCAAAAGCAUUGGUCCUGAGAUGCCCAAGGAUCUUGUUUAUUUCCCAAAAGUCUCAAAUAUGCUCCGUGUGGAACAUGGGAGCGUGCUCUGUGCCACAUGCAAAUUUCUUACUGAAGAGACAAGAAGAAGAGCUUAGUACCUCCAGGACUUGUUUAUUCAGGAUCAGGCUUCAGUUGGUCCACAUCUGGACUUCAUUAGGUCUCCUCACCCCCACCCCAACCUCCCUUUAUCUGUAAGAGGUCUGCCAAGAAAACAAGGUUCCCCAACAUUGCUCCUCAUUAAAGGUUAGUUGAGUUUUCAAC